GACGAACGCUGGCGGCGCGCCUAACACAUGCAAGUCGAACGAGCGAGAGAGAGCUUGCUUUCUCAAGCGAGUGGCGAACGGGUGAGUAACGCGUGAGGAACCUGCCUCAAAGAGGGGGACAACAGUUGGAAACGACUGCUAAUACCGCAUAAGCCCACGGCUCGGCAUCGAGCAGAGGGAAAAGGAGCAAUCCGCUUUGAGAUGGCCUCGCGUCCGAUUAGCUAGUUGGUGAGGUAACGGCCCACUAAGGCGACGAUCGGUAGCCGGACUGAGAGGUUGAACGGCCACAUUGGGACUGAGACACGGCCCAGACUCCUACGGGAGGCAGCAGUGGGGAAUAUUGCACAAUGGGGGAAACCCUGAUGCAGCGACGCCGCGUGGAGGAAGAAGGUCUUCGGAUUGUAAACUCCUGUUGUUGAGGAAGAUAAUGACGGUACUCAACAAGGAAGUGACGGCUAACUACGUGCCAGCAGCCGCGGUAAAACGUAGGUCACAAGCGUUGUCCGGAAUUACUGGGUGUAAAGGGAGCGCAGGCGGGAAGACAAGUUGGAAGUGAAAUCCAUGGGCUCAACCCAUGAACUGCUUUCAAAACUGUUUUUCUUGAGUAGUGCAGAGGUAGGCGGAAUUCCCGGUGUAGCGGUGGAAUGCGUAGAUAUCGGGAGGAACACCAGUGGCGAAGGCGGCCUACUGGGCACCAACUGACGCUGAGGCUCGAAAGUGUGGGUAGCAAACAGGAUUAGAUACCCUGGUAGUCCACACUGUAAACGAUGAUUACUAGGUGUUGGAGGAUUGACCCCUUCAGUGCCGCAGUUAACACAAUAAGUAAUCCACCUGGGGAGUACGACCGCAAGGUUGAAACUCAAAGGAAUUGACGGGGGCCCGCACAAGCAGUGGAGUAUGUGGUUUAAUUCGACGCAACGCGAAGAACCUUACCAAGUCUUGACAUCCUGCGACGGUGCUGGAAACAGUACUUUCCUUCGGGACGCAGAGACAGGUGGUGCAUGGUUGUCGUCAGCUCGUGUCGUGAGAUGUUGGGUUAAGUCCCGCAACGAGCGCAACCCUUAUGGUCAGUUACUACGCAAGAGGACUCUGGCCAGACUGCCGUUGACAAAACGGACGAAGGUGGGGAGGACGUCAAAUCAUCAUGCCCCUUAUGACUUGGGCUACACACGUACUACAAUGGCGUUAAACAAAGAGAAGCAAGACCGCGAGGUGGAGCAAAACUCAGAAACAACGUCCCAGUUCGGACUGCAGGCUGCAACUCGCCUGCACGAAGUCGGAAUUGCUAGUAAUCGCAGAUCAGCAUGCUGCGGUGAAUAAGAUCCCGGGCCUUGUACU
rnacentral:rRNA from 1 species